GUGUCUGUAGCCUAGUUGGUAAAGGAAGCACUCUUGUAUGUGACUCAGCAUUGCUGAGGUUUUGAGUUCAAAUCUCACCAGGCACA
rnacentral:tRNA from 2 species